rnacentral:rRNA from 1 species
ACGCGCGGAACCUUACCAUCCCUUGACAUGGCAUGUUACCUCGAGAGAUCGGGGAUCCUCUUCGGAGGCGUGCACACAGGUGCUGCAUGGCUGUCGUCAGCUCGUGUCGUGAGAUGUUGGGUUAAGUCCCGCAACGAGCGCAACCCACGUCCUUAGUUGCCAUCAUUCAGUUGGGCACUCUAGGGAGACUGCCGGUGAUAAGCCGCGAGGAAGGUGUGGAUGACGUCAAGUCCUCAUGGCCCUUACGGGA